rnacentral:rRNA from 1 species
AUGUGCAGAGCCGAAAGGAAAAACAAUGCUAUUGCUCUUCUUCUUUAUUUACCUAUGAAUGCAUUGUUGAAGCUGUGGGAAGUGGUUGAAGAUAGCAAGAGUGCUAGUGCGAGUGAUAAUCUUGAAAGUGCUUUGACUAUUCACCAUCUCACAGCAGAGAAGAACAAGCUGGAGGCCAACUAUGACAAGUUAGUCCAAGAUGUGCAUGAGCUUAUGAGCUUCCAGGAGGAGAGGGUGGUGGAUUUCAGAUAUCUGCAGUCCAACAUUACAUAUCAGCAGCAAUGCAGAAGUGAACUGGUGGCUGGUAUGAAGGCAGAGAUGGCAAAGAAAGAUGCAUAG